rnacentral:rRNA from 1 species
UGGGGAAUAUUGGACAAUGGGGGGAACCCUGAUCCAGCCAUGCCGCGUGUGUGAAGAAGGCCUUAUGGUUGUAAAGCACUUUAAGCGAGGAGGAGGGUACUGGUAUUAAUACUACCAGGUACUGGACGUUACUCGCAGAAUAAGCACCGGCUAACUCUGUGCCAGCAGCCGCGGUAAUACAGAGGGUGCGAGCGUUAAUCGGAUUUACUGGGCGUAAAGCGUGCGUAGGCGGCUAAUUGAGUCGGAUGUGAAAUCCCCGAGCUUAACUUGGGAAUUGCAUUCGAUACUGGUUAGCUAGGGUGUGGGAGAGGAUGGUAGAAUUCCAGGUGUAGCGGUGAAAUGCGUAGAGAUCGGGAGGAAUACCGAUGGCGAAGGCAGCCAUCUGGCCUAACACUGACGCUGAGGUACGAAAGCAUGGGGAGCAAACAGG